GUCUCCUACAGAUGCAGACAGGGAGGAUGGAGACUGGGUCAACUGAAUGUCACAUCUGGCACCUGAGAUUGGAAACAGAAAAACAAAUAUCCACACAAUUGUAAGAGAAGUUCCCUGAAGAGCCAGGCUGUACUGAGCACACUGGGCCAAGUAAAUUCCUAAUGUUCCCCUUCCUUACCUGGGAGCCAGAGCAGCAGGAGCCCGAGAAGCUGAGCGAGGACCCUGAUGUCCAUGCUGCGUCCAGACUGGGUCUAACUCCUGCACGAAGUGUAACCAGCCUAUUAAGAAGUCUUCAGGGCAGGAGGAUGUGCCCUGCGAACAUGCAAAUGAGCAGAAGAUGGGGCAGACGGGGCACAGCUGCAGGGCUGGCUCAUCAGAGUAACUCAGUACCAGCUCAGUGUCCCCAGGUGUUCCAGUGACAAGGAACCUGUUAUAUCAGCUUGAAAGAGAACAAGAGAGACAGCUCACAAUCAGUGAGGACAUGAUGAGGUGCACACAUACCCCAGCUUCGUCAUCUCUCAGGUGGAACAGCCCAAAGGAAUUUAGUCCGUGUUUCCACAUGUGGUCGAUCUUCAGUUAUCCUGAGUCAGGAUUCUUCCACAUGACAAGAACCAUGGCUUCCACACCCCCUUAUCUAAACUCAAGUAUUUCUUUAUGAUGAAUUCAACUCUUUAGGCAGACCUUAACUCUUUCAACCAGUGGCCAGUCAGAAAACCUUUGAAUCCGUGUAUGAUCUGGAGCCCCUGCUUCAAGAUAUCCUACCUUUCUAGGACAAACUAACCAGCAUUGUCAUUACAACAGAGAUCUUUGGACUGACAAAACAGAUAGUUUUUAGCAACAAGAUACCAUACUCCAACAUGACAGAUAAUAGGCCCUGGAGAAAAUAAAAAUAUUUUACCCUAAAAAUAUUUAUUUGACAUAUUCUAAAAUGGCCCUGCAAAGCUGCCUGUUGUGGGGAAAAUUUGCAUUCUAUAGAGAAUCUCCUCCGCUUACGAAGUCUUUUCUGAAGAGUCUGACAUUUUUUAAAGGUCUGAUAAGCAACAUUCACCGUCUACUUUAUUUGCCACCCAUAGGAUUCAUCUACAUGACAAGAACCCCCCGUUUUCUAGACUCAAGCAUUUCUUUAUGGUGAAUUCAACUCUUUAGGCAGAGUUUAACUUUUUCAACCAGGAGCCAGUCAGGAAAGCUUUGACUGCACCUAUGACCUGGAAGCCCCUUCUUCAUGAUAUCCUACCUUUCCGGGAAAAACUAAUGUAUAUUUUAUGUGUAUUGAUUUAUGUCUUUGCCUGUAAUUUCUGUGUCUCCUAAAGUGCAUAAAAUCAAUGUGUAAUCCAACCACCCUGUGCACAUGUUUGCAGGACCUCCUAAGGCUGUGUCACAGGCCAUAAGCCAUAUAUUUGACAAAAUAAACCUGUAAAUUGAUUGAGA